UACAGAGGGGGCAAGCGUUGUUCGGAAUUACUGGGCGUAAAGGGCGCGUAGGCGGCCCGGUAAGUCCGCUGUGAAAGUCGGGGGCUCAACCCUCGAAUGCCGGUGGAUACUGUCGGGCUAGAGUGCGGAAGAGGCGAGUGGAAUUCCUGGUGUAGCGGUGAAAUGCGCAGAUAUCAGGAGGAACACCGAUUGCGAAGGCAGCUCGCUGGGACGUAACUGACGCUGAGACGCGAAAGCGUGGGGAGCAAACAGG
rnacentral:rRNA from 1 species